rnacentral:rRNA from 1 species
GACGAACGCUGGCGGCGUGCUUAACACAUGCAAGUCGAACGGAAAGGCCUUUUCGGAGGUACUCUAGUGUCGAACGGGUGAGUAACACGUGGGUGAUCUGCCCUGCACUCGGGGAUAAGCCUGGGAAACUGGGUCUAAUACCGGAUAGGACCGCACUUGAGUGUGUGUUGUGGAAAGUUUUUUCGGUGUAAGAUGAGCCCUCGGCCUAUCAGCUUGUUUGUGGGGUAAUGUCCUACCAAUGCGGAGAGGGGUAGCCGGCACUAGAGGUUAGUCGGCCACAUUGCGACUGCGAGAGGCACCAGUCUGCAACGGGCGGCAGCAGUGGCGACUCUUGCCCAAUGGCCGCACGCCUGAUGAAGAGAUGCCGCGUGGGGGAUGACGGGCUUUGGGUUGAAAACUCGUUUCGCCAGGGAAGAAGCGUUUUGUGACGGUACCUGGCGAAGAAGCACCGGCUAACUACGUG